rnacentral:rRNA from 2 species
UCGCGGGCGCCCCUUUUUCUUGUUGGUGGGGUAAUGGCCUACCAAGGCGACGACGGGUAGCCGGCCUGAGAGGGCGACCGGCCACACUGGGACUGAGACACGGCCCAGACUCCUACGGGAGGCAGCAGUGGGGAAUAUUGCACAAUGGGCGAAAGCCUGAUGCAGCGACGCCGCGUGAGGGAUGACGGCCUUCGGGUUGUAAACCUCUUUCAGCAGGGAAGAAGCGAAAGUGACGGUACCUGCAGAAGAAGCGCCGGCUAACUACGUGCCAGCAGCCGCGGUAAUACGUAGGGCGCAAGCGUUGUCCGGAAUUAUUGGGCGUAAAGAGCUCGUAGGCGGCUUGUCACGUCGGGUGUGAAAGCCCGGGGCUUAACCCCGGGUCUGCAUCCGAUACGGGCAGGCUAGAGUGUGGUAGGGGAGAUCGGAAUUCCUGGUGUAGCGGUGAAAUGCGCAGAUAUCAGGAGGAACACCGGUGGCGAAGGCGGAUCUCUGGGCCAUUACUGACGCUGAGGAGCGAAAGCGUGGGGAGCGAACAGGAUUAGAUACCCUGGUAGUCCACGCCGUAAACGUUGGGAACUAGGUGUUGGCGACAUCCACGUCGCGGGGCAGCAGCAGCGCGGUGAACC